rnacentral:rRNA from 1 species
UACGACUACAUAUCAGGCAUAUCAAUAAGCGGAGGAAAAGAAACUAACUAGGAUUCCCUUAGUAACGGCGAGUGAAGCGGGAAGAGCUCAAAUUUGAAAUCUUCAAGGUUCUACCUUGACGAAUUGUAGUUUAAAGAAGUGUUUUCUGUUGGAGUUUUGGUAAAAGUUCUUUGGAAUAGGACAUCAUAGAGGGUGAGAAUCCCGUAUUUGACCAUUUCUUCCAGCUGUGUGAUACACUUUCAAAGAGUCGGAUUGUUUGGGAAUGCAGUCCAAAAUGGGUGGUAAAUUUCAUCUAAAGCUAAAUAUUGGCGAGAGACCGAUAGCGAACAAGUACCGUGAGGGAAAGAUGAAAAGAACUUUGAAAAGAGAGUUAAACAGUACGUGAAAUUGUCAAAAGGGAAGCGUUUGACACCAGUGUUGUUUUCUCGAAAAUCAAUUAAAAAUGACCGGAUUUUGUGUUGUAUUGACUUUAUCAGCUUUCUGCACUUUUUUCUUGUCUUUUUUAAUGCACUUUUCGUUUAACAAGUCAACAUCAAUUUCUUUUGUUGUAAAAGGGUCAUUGGAAGGUGGCUUUCACUUCGGUGAAAGUGUUUAUAGCCUUUGACUUCUGCAAUCGGAGAGAUUGAGGUCUGCAGCGUAGAUCCUUCGGGGUUAGAUACAUUUGUGCUAAGUUAUAGUUUUUCAUAGACAACAUGUUGACUAUGAUUAAUCAUGUAGCUUACUCGUUUGACGCUAUUUUACCUACGCUUAGGAUGUUGAUCUCUCACAGUCGAGC